AACGAACGCUGGCGGCAGGCCUAACACAUGCAAGUCGAGCGAGGUAGCAAUACCUAGCGGCGGACGGGUGAGUAACGCGUGGGAACGUACCCUUUGCUACGGAAUAGCCCCGGGAAACUGGGAGUAAUACCGUAUGUGCCCUUCGGGGGAAAGAUUUAUCGGCAAAGGAUCGGCCCGCGUUGGAUUAGGUAGUUGGUGGGGUAAUGGCCUACCAAGCCGACGAUCCAUAGCUGGUUUGAGAGGAUGAUCAGCCACACUGGGACUGAGACACGGCCCAGACUCCUACGGGAGGCAGCAGUGGGGAAUCUUAGACAAUGGGCGCAAGCCUGAUCUAGCCAUGCCGCGUGAGUGAUGAAGGCCUUAGGGUUGUAAAGCUCUUUCAGAUGGGAAGAUAAUGACGGUACCAUCAGAAGAAGCCCCGGCUAACUCCGUGCCAGCAGCCGCGGUAAAGUCUGUACU
rnacentral:rRNA from 1 species